ACAAUCUUCGGACCGUCGCGUCGGUCUAGCGAGCAAUGACACUCGCUCGGUGGAAGAACUGCCCUUCGUCGU
rnacentral:pre_miRNA from 1 species